GCGCAGCAGGCGAGAAACCUUUACAAUGCACGAAAGUGCGAUAAGGGGAUCCCAAGUGCCAAUACUCUGUAUUGGCUUUUGCUGAGAGUAAAAAUCUCGGCGAAUAAGUGAUGGGUAAGACUGGUGCCAGCCGCCGCGGUAACACCAGCGUCACGAGUGGCGCCCACUUUUAUUGGGUCUAAAGCGUCCGUAGCCGGGUCUGUAAGUCCUCUGUGAAAUCGUUAGGCCUAACCUAACGGAUAGCAGAGGAGACUGCCGACCUAGACGGACCGGGGAGGA
rnacentral:rRNA from 1 species